rnacentral:rRNA from 1 species
UACGGGGGGGGCAAGCGUUGUUCGGAAUUACUGGGCGUAAAGCGCGUGUAGGCGGCUCUUCAAGUCGAGUGUGAAAGCUCCAGGCUUAACCUGGGAAUUGCGCUCGAUACUGUUGAGCUAGAGUGUGGAAGGGGCUACUGGAAUUCCGUGUGUAGCGGUGAAAUGCGUAGAUAUACGGAGGAACACCUGCGGCGAAGGCGACUUCCUGGCCUGUUCUUGACGCUGAGGCGCGAAAGCUAGGGGAGCAAACGGG